rnacentral:rRNA from 1 species
UGGGGAAUAUUGGACAAUGGGGGCAACCCUGAUCCAGCAAUGCCGCGUGUGUGAAGAAGGCCUUCGGGUUGUAAAGCACUUUAGGUGGGGAAGAAGAUGUGUAGUUUAAGAGAUGACACAUUUGACGGUACUCACAGAAUAAGCACCGGCUAACUCUGUGCCAGCAGCCGCGGUAAUACAGAGGGUGCGAGCGUUAAUCGGAAUUACUGGGCGUAAAGGGCGCGUAGUGGAUAUUUAAGUGAGAGGUGAAAUCCCCGGGCUCAACCUGGGAACUGCCUCUUAUACUGGGUAUCUGGAGUGUGGUAGAGGGUAGUGGAAUUUCCGGUGUAGCGGUGAAAUGCGUAGAUAUCGGAAGGAACACCAGUGGCGAAGGCGGCUACCUGGACUAACACUGACACUGAGGCGCGAAAGCGUGGGGAGCAAACAG